rnacentral:lncRNA from 1 species
UUGGCCAGGGCAGUAAUAUAAAGUGGAAAAAGAGUUUUCCAUUAGCGAACUCAAGUCGAAUAAAUCUUGACAUAUGACAGACGAUAGGGUUUGACGAGUUGUCCAUGACCUCCGCCCUGUAGGGAUCCACGAUAGUAGGACUGUAUCGCACGUUAACUGCACCUAGAGAUUCAUCAUUCCAUUCUGCUGGGUAGCCACUACAUGCUGCUAGGUGUCACUGGUGGAUGGUGAGACUCAUAGGGAUUAUCUUGAUGAUCGAUAGACCCUAAUGAGUUGAGUUGGAAUCGUUCCAACCCAUUGAAAGGAGUUUUCAAUGAUAUAGUGAUAGAGAUCACAAUAUAUCUCACUACCAGUCAGAAUAGAACCUAUGGGGUCACACACACUAGAAGUAUUGACCGAUCCGAUGGUUGAAAUCGUGAUUAGGAAUC